CAAGUCGAGGGGCAACAUGAUUGGUAGCGAUACUGAUUGAUGGCGACCGGCGGACGGGUGCGUAACGCGUAUGCAACCUACCUAUUACAGGGGGAUAAGCUGAAGAAAUUCGGUCUAAAACCGCGUAAAACGGGAUAAGGCAUCUUAUUUUGUUGAAAUAUUUAUAGGUAAUAGAUGGGCAUGCGUGACAUUAGCUAGUUGGUAGGGUAACGGCCAACCAAGGCGACGAUGUCUAGGGGGACUGAGAGGUUAACCCCCCACACCGGUACUGAGACACGGACCAGACUCC
rnacentral:rRNA from 1 species